rnacentral:rRNA from 1 species
UUGUCUCAAAGAUUAAGCCAUGCAUGUCUCAGUACAAGCCAAAUUAAGGUGAAACCGCGAAAGGCUCAUUAAAUCAGUUAUGGUUCCUUAGAUCGUACCCACAUUUACUUGGAUAACUGUGGUAAUUCUAGAGCUAAUACAUGCAAACAGAGCUCCAACCGGAGACGGAAGGAGCGCUUUUAUUAGAUCAAAACCAAUCGGUGUUGAUUUUACAAUCUUCAUCGUAUCAUUUGGUGACUCUGAAUAACUUUAAGCUGAUCGCACGGUCUUGCACCGGCGACGCAUCUUUCAAAUGUCUGCCUUAUCAACUGUCGAUGGUAGGUUCUGCGCCUACCAUGGUUGUAACGGGUAACGGGGAAUCAGGGUUCGAUUCCGGAGAGGGAGCCUGAGAAACGGCUACCACAUCCAAGGAAGGCAGCAGGCGCGCAAAUUACCCACUCCCGGCACGGGGAGGUAGUGACGAAAAAUAACGAUACGGGACUCAUCCGAGGCCCCGUAAUCGGAAUGAGUACACUCUAAACCCUUUAACGAGGAUCAAUUGGAGGGCAAGUCUGGUGCCAGCAGCCGCGGUAAUUCCAGCUCCAAUAGCGUAUAUUAAAGUUGUUGCGGUUAAAAAGCUCGUAGUCGAAUCUGUGUUUCGCGCCGACGGUUCAUCGUUCGCGGUGUUAACUGUCGUGCCGCGGAACGUCCUGCCGGUGGGCUUAGCUCGCAAGGGCGGCCCAACUCAAUCCCGCCGCGGUGCUCUUCAUUGAGUGUCGAGGUGGGCCGGCACGUUUACUUUGAACAAAUUAGAGUGCUUAAAGCAGGCUAAAAUUUUGCCUGAAUACUGUGUGCAUGGAAUAAUGGAAUAGGACCUCGGUUCUAUUUUGUUGGUUUUCGGAACCCCGAGGUAAUGAUUAAUAGGAACGGAUGGGGGCAUUCGUAUUGCGACGUUAGAGGUGAAAUUCUUGGAUCGUCGCAAGACGGACAGAAGCGAAAGCAUUUGCCAAAAACGCUUUCAUUGAUCAAGAACGAAAGUUAGAGGUUCGAAGGCGAUCAGAUACCGCCCUAGUUCUAACCAUAAACGAUGCCAGCUAGCGAUCCGCCGACGUUCCUCCGAUGACUCGGCGGGCAGCUUCCGGGAAACCAAAGCUUUUGGGUUCCGGGGGAAGUAUGGUUGCAAAGCUGAAACUUAAAGGAAUUGACGGAAGGGCACCACCAGGAGUGGAGCCUGCGGCUUAAUU